rnacentral:rRNA from 1 species
GGGGUUGCGGACAGUGUCUGGUGGGUAGUUUGACUGGGGCGGUCUCCUCCCAAAGCGUAACGGAGGAGCACGAAGGUUAGCUAAUCCUGGUCGGACAUCAGGAGGUUAGUGCAAUGGCAUAAGCUAGCUUGACUGCGAGCGUGACGGCGCGAGCAGGUGCGAAAGCAGGUCAUAGUGAUCCGGUGGUUCUGAAUGGAAGGGCCAUCGCUCAACGGAUAAAAGGUACUCCGGGGAUAACAGGCUGAUACCGCCCAAGAGUUCAUAUCGACGGCGGUGUUUGGCACCUCGAUGUCGGCUCAUCACAUCCUGGGGCUGAAGUAGGUCCCAAGGGUAUGGCUGUUCGCCAUUUAAAGUGGUACGCGAGCUGGGUUUAGAACGUCGUGAGACAGUUCGGUCCCUAUCUGCCGUGGGCGCUGGAGAAUUGAGGGGGGCUGCUCCUAGUACGAGAGGACCGGAGUGGACGCAUCACUGGUGUUCGGGUUGUCAUGCCAAUGGCACUGCCCGGUAGCUAAAUGCGGAAGAGAUAAGUGCUGAAAGCAUCUAAGCACGAAACUUGCCCCG